ACAUCGCCACCUGGCGAGUAGAGACGCAUUCGGAAUACAGCAGAAAAUCCAUCAACACGACUCAAAUAUUCAGACCUAAAUCGUAUUACCGAGCAAUACUAAUUAUCAUCCUGACCUAUAUUGUAGUUUGUCCUGCUCUCCACAGACAUUACAGUCUUUUAAAAUAGUGUGUGGCAGUCUGAACGAACAGGAUACAGCAGUCCAAGGUGGACGCCUACUGCAUGCAAAGACUGGGUAUAACAAUACUGAAGAAAAAAAAGUCAACCAGAAAGAAGACUGCAAAGGUCAAAAAAGUAUUCUCUGUUGGGAAAAAAUGACAGCAAAAAAGGAGAAAGGAGCAUCUCCACAGAGAAGCAGCAUCAGUCAACGCUGAUCGAUCAGAGGCAGAAUGUACGGAAAUAAGAGAAACAACCACCCCCACGUGACGGCGGAGUUCUGGGUGGGCGGAUCCCUCACGCCACGAGUGCUCUCCCUCCCCAAGGGUGGACAGUCCACUUCAAUCUCCGGGCCAAAAGGACAGCCUUGCCCUCUCAGUCCACGAACCUCUGGCAGGCCUUCUUCCAGCGACAGGCCGUGCACCACAUAUCCCGGUUCUCCAUGCCAUACACCUUGCGGCAUUUCUUGCCUUCGCCUCGUGACUUCCUGUCAGGCGAAGUAGAGAAGUGAACCAGCGGGCACCACACAUGCACACGUCCGUAUCGCACGGAAGACACCAGCAGGUCACGAGAUGUAUGGAAGGUGCCAUUGCAGGAAAGGGCAGUACCUGAGGAGGCCUGUUGUCCGUGGGGGAGACGCGAGGAUGGCAGCAGCUGGGGGGCGCUGCUCCGUGGAGCCCUUGGUCUGACUAUGAGGGGGAGAUGCCUGCUGGAGAGGCCAGAACGCGCACACACACACACACACACACACACACACACACACACACACACACACACA